ensembl:antisense Gm44777 predicted gene 44777
AGAAGGCAUGGCGGCGAGGCGGUAAGUGUAUGGCUGGGUUGCUACGCCUUGAACUCUUGUCUCUAGUCUUGCUCUUAGCCAGAGCAGCAAGUCUGUCUCUAACAUCUCUUCGGAAGUCGCAUCUGAGGGGACCUAGGGCGUGCUCGAGUCCUGGGCUGAAGGAUUUGGAUAAGCUGCGGGUUUCUCAGGGCUCCCUCUGCAGCCCCGAACUCGUGCGGUGUGGGAUGAUCGCAAAGCCUAGGUGCAGCCGGCGCUUCUCUCUAGAUCGUUAAUUCUAGGCUUCCGAGCCCCGCCCGGGUCUGUCCUCCUGUCUGCGCGCCUUUUCUACACAGGUCGGAGCGCAGAACCGCUCACCCCCGUCGGAGAAGAGUUGGGAACGAGGAAAGAAGCUUCGAGAAGAUGAGGGGGAAAGGGACUACCCCGGGAGUUGGUCUUUUAAGGAUGUCCUAGUCCGGUUCACCACAGAGCGUUCGAAGAAUGGGUGAAUAUAACAAUUUAUUGUAAAUGCAACAAAAAACAACAAAGACAUGGACCCAAGAAACUCAGAUCUACAAGACCCUGUUGACAAGUGAAGCGUGAGAGGUUUGAAACAGUACUGAAAUACUGAUCCAGUUUUCUUUUUUGUUGUGUUUGAGACCGGGUCCCUCAAUGUAGUUUUGGUUGUUCAGGAACUCGCCUUGUAGACCAGGCUUGCUUCAAACACACGUUAAGUCUUUCUGCCUCUGUCUCUUAAAAAAAUGCUGAAAUGAUGAUGAAAGGUUUGAGCCAUCAUGCCCAGCUGCGUUCUUUUAACCCAUUACUAGUUGAAUUACGUUUUCCAAAACAUUGGGAACUUGAACCAAAUUUGUAUUUAUUUCCUGGCAAAGUUGUAUUUGAUUAAUUAACCAGAUUCACACUUUUAGCCCAGAUAUGUGAUCCGAACAUCAAGCUUGGCUUCAAUUCGCAAUCCCUAAGCAAGAAUACUUCAUUUCACUCUAACACAUUUGUCCGAAUACAAAUUUAGGGUUCAAUAGUCUUUCUCAUUUCCACGAGUCACUCCAACACAUCUCACCACAGAAACGUAUCAAAUACUUCAUUGUUUCCACGGGUACCCCAAUCCUAUCCAUCAUCUCUCAGGCAGCUUAAGUGGUGUCCCAUUAUGUAUACAAUCCAUUGUCUGCCUAGUGGUUAGUGGUCUCUUUGUAAAUCCCUCUAAAUUGUGUGUGUUAAAGAUUGAUUUAUUUAUUUAUUUAUUUAAUAUAAGUACACUGUAGCUGUCUUCAGACACUCCAGAAGAGGGCAUCAGAACCCAUUAUAGAUGGUUGUGAGCCACCAUGUGGUUGCUGGGAAUUGAACUCAGGACCUCUGGAAGAUCUAAAUUGUUUUUAAAGACUUUUAAUGUGUGAAUAUGGGGUAAGAGGAUAACCUUGUGUAGUCUUUUCAUCUUUUUACCUGGCUUUGAAUAUCAAACUAGAGUUGUCAGUGCACAGCAAGCACUUUUGGCUACUGAGCCAUCUCAGGGGCUCUCUUUUUAUAUUUUCUCCAUGUAUUUGAAAUAAAACCCAAGUCCCUGGCCUCAUGUCCUUCCACUUUGCCCUUAUUUCUACUCAUUCCAAGCACAUUUUUUUUUUUCCUUUUUGGCUUUUGAGACAGGUUUCUCUGAAUAACCCUGGCUGACCUGGUAGACCAGGCUGGCCUCAAACUCAGAAAUUCACCUGCCUCUGCCUCCCAAGUGCUGGGAUUAAAGGCACCAAGCACAUUUCUUUUUUUUUUUUUUUUNNNNNNNNNNNNNNNNNNNNNNNNNNNNNNNNNNNNNNNNNNNNNGUCUUCAGACACUCCAGAAGAGGGAGUCAGAUCUCGUAAGGGAUGGUUGUGAGCCACCAUGUGGUUGCUGGGAUUUGAACUCCGGACCUUCGGAAGAGCAGUGGGGUGCUCUUACCUGCUGAGCCAUCUCACCAGCCCCACCAAGCACAUUUCUAAUCCUAUACAUAGUAACAUGUCUACCUGGAAAAAAAUUAAUAUACUUUUAAAGAUGUGUGUCUGUGUGUCUUGUCUGUCUUGGCAUCACAGUACCUGCAGUGCCCAUGGAGGCCAGUAGAGGGUAUCAGAUAUUUUGGAACUGGAGUUAACAGAAAAUUCUUAGUUGCUACAUGGAUGUUUGAAACUGAAACCAAGUCCUCUGCAAGACCAGUAAGAGCUCUUAACCCCUUAGCCUUCUCUCUAGCCACCCCCCCCUUUUAAAAUUACUUGUUUAUACAGCUGUGCAAGCUGAGUGCAGUGCCCAGAGGCCAGAAGACGAUAUUGGGUAAGAACUAGAGUAAUAAGCACUUGUACUUUGUACUGGGAACCAAACUCUAGUCUUCUACAACAGAAAGCCAUUGUAGCACUAAGCCAUCUCUCUAGCCCACUACCUGCAAUAGUUUGAACUCUAGUACCGGCAAACAGCUUGGCACUCAGGCAAAACUCAGUUAUUUCAAAGGAUAAGCUUACAUAAGCCAUCUCUCUCUCUGAAGAUUUUGGGAGCCAGAGGCUUUUUAUUUAAUGUAUGAAUGCUCUGCUGCAUAUAAAUCUGCCCACUGGAAGAAGUCAUCAGAUCCUCUAGUAGAUGGUUGUGAGCCACCAUGUGGUUGCUGGGAAUUGAAUUCAAGACCUCUGGAAGAGUAGCUAGUGCCCUUAGCCGCUUAGCCAUCUCAACAGCCCCUUAAUUGUCCUUUCAAGGUCUUUAUACUGGUUUUUUUUUUUCCAAAUUAUUAGAAUGGUUAGAGAGCCAGUCUUGUGCUCAUAAUCCAGAAUAAAGGUAUGGUGUUAAUUUGCACUUCCGAAUGUGGCUAAGUGAACUUUCACAGACCAAGAACCAUGCCUACAGAAUUCACAUCUCAGGAAAUGAUAGGCUGUAGCAGAUUAUCUAGACCUUCAAAGAAUCACAUUCAAAUUCAGGAUAAAUUUUACAAACUCCUGGGUAAGAUGCAAUAAUUAUUAAAGUUUAAAACCAAAAUACUGAAUCAAGAAGGAAGGAAAUGACAGCCAAGUUCCUUUAUUUCAGAAAUAUUUUAAUUGUAGUAUAGUUAUGAAGUCACNNNNNNNNNNNNNNNNNNNNNNNNNNNNNNNNNNNNNNNNNNNNNNNNNNNNNAAGUAUUAAUAAAAAUAUUAUACAUCUUAACUCACUAUGCUGAUAUAAUUAAAGCAUUUUCUUCUUACAGGCGACACUAGUAAUCACAUGUAUGUUUGCAUUGCUGGUGAACAGCGUGUAAGUAAAUGUGUAUCAUAAUAGCAGGUCUUCAGUGUUUGUUUAAAUCUGAGUUAUCAAAAGUGAAUUUUUUUAAAUGUUACAAUUCAUGAGUCUUAGAAAGAAUUAAACAAUUUAAGGCAAGAUUUUGAACUUUAUAUACAACUUUAAUUUGAAAAAAAAGUACUUAAAAAAGAUACACAUGCUUUAACAACUCAUUCCCAUAAACACAGUAAUAUAAAGCAUUGGUGCCAGUCUCAUUGGAUUCCUCAGAGAAAACAGGUUCUUGGGAUGAGCGAUCAUCUUCAGAUCCUAGAGCACUGGCAAGAACAAAGAAUUCUGGCACAGGACUUGUAUGUAGCAGACUUAUUUUUACUUGAAGGUAGUUAUAAAUAUGAUAUACAUAAACAUUAGUGUCUUGGCCUGUCUAGCGUUCUCGUUUUCCGAUGUAUUUUAAGGUGACUGUUAAGAAGCUCUAGAAGCCAGCUGACUAUGGUGACUGCAGCCGCAGUGCACAGAGGCUACGUUCUCCUCCCUAUCACUGUUUUUUUGGUAUGGGCUGAAGAUUAGCAUUUUACAAAGAAAUAACUUACAUUAAAAUAUAUGUAUUCUAAUGACCAAAGAAGGCACAAAUUGAGUAAAAUUAAGAGACAGUAUCACCUUUUGAAUUCUUGUUAACUAUACAGUAUUACUUAUAAUAUAUACUUUUAGAUAUUAAUCAGAUUUCUUGUCACUGAAGUGACAUUACAUUUUUAAUUCUGUUUCUGCUAAGAUACACGGUAACAGAUCACAAAAAGGUCCACGAGUCCAGUCAAUGACGACCUUUUACAAACAGCAUUUUUUUAAGUCUGGGUGACCCAUGGAAUGGAAUUAGGUUUCUC